rnacentral:rRNA from 1 species
AACAAGGUUUCCGUAGGUGAACCUGCGGAAGGAUCAUUAUCGAGUUCUGACUGGGUUGUAGCUGGCCUUCCGAGGCAUGUGCACGCCCUGCUCAUCCACUCUACACCUGUGCACUUACUGUGGGUUUACGGGUCGUGAAACGGGCUCGUUUAUUCGGGCUUGUUGAGCGCACUUGUUGCCUGCGUUUAUCACAAACUCUAUAAAGUAUCAUAAUGUGUAUUGCGAUGUAACGCAUCUAUAUACAACUUUCAGCAACGGAUCUCUUGGCUCUCGCAUCGAUGAAGAACGCAGCGAAAUGCGAUAAGUAAUGUGAAUUGCAGAAUUCAGUGAAUCAUCGAAUCUUUGAACGCACCUUGCGCUUCUUGGUAUUCCGAGGAGCAUGCCUGUUUGAGUGUCAUGAAAUCUUCAAUCUACAAACUUCUUAUGGAGUUUGUAGGCUUGGACUUGGAGGCUUGUCGGUCCCUUUACAGGUCGGCUCCUCUUAAAUGCAUUAGCUUGGUUCCUUGCGGAUCGGCUUGUCGGUGUGAUAAUGUCUACGCCGCGACCGUGAAGCGUGUUUGGGCGAGCUUCUAACCGUCUCGUUACAGAGACAACUUUUAUGACCUUCUGACCUCAAAUCAGGUAGGACUACCCGCUGAACUUA